CGCCCCGAGCAGUCGUACAGAAGCAACUGCCUGUGCAGCCGCUGCACUGCGUUGCUCUUUCCUCUCUGUCUCCGCGAGCGCGACGUUGCGUUUCGUCAACAGUGCUUCACGUCCCCGCCUAAUCGUGAACAGUGCUACCGACUCUUCUCAGUGCAACGGUGCAAAAGAUAGUCGCAGUGUUGGAUUACAGUGCCCCCAGUCGACGCCAAGAAGCUUACCGAGUGCCUGGUAAGGCCGCCGGCUACAUUUUCCGGCGCUGCGCUGGAGGCGUGUUUGGUGUACGAGGGACGACUGCAGAGCUUCGAGUGAUAGUUCGUCGCCGACUGGUACUUGCAGAGGACUGUCACAGGUGGCAGACCGGCGUAGGCGUGGACGGCGCGGCAGGUUGGCAGCGCUAGUGCGCGUGCGCGCAGAGGGGGCGUGUCGCGAGUUGUGCUGUGGCGGCUCGUCUGCCCCGCGGCUUCAGCAGCGGCCGGCGGUCGCCCGCGGCGCUUCUGGACGCUCCACGGAAGGACACCCGCGCUCGCCAAAAAGGUUGGUCUCCUAAUAGCCCCAGCGUAUUUCCAGAGCCGUUGCAGAGGUGGAGCUAUUUCACCGUUCCACAGUACUGUCGCUGCAACACAACAGCGCGAUGCACUUUGGCUGUGGGGAGGCGGCAGCUAGGUGACAGGAGCUGCACUUUCGGUGUAACUGUCGAAGAUGUGACUGCAGAAGUGCGGAGGAUUUUGCUUGUUUACAUAUUUCCGACCACCACAGAGCUUGCAGCAGAGAGACGUUUAGGAAGAUAAAUCGGCCAAGUCCUUUGCAAAUGAUCCAACUGGGUAUUCGCUUGAGCGAUUUUGGGACACCACGGUAAAUCUGCAUCUAGAUGGCUGGACGGGGAUUUUAACUACUGUUCGCCCAAAUAAGAGUCCAGUUUCUUAUCACUGCGCUACCUGAUUCGGUGAUAUCAGCAGAGUAGCUGAGGACAUAGCCGUCCCUCCGCCAAAAUACAUAGCGUGGAGGGAUCUCAUUGGUAAUUGUCAAAGUAGCUGAGACAUGAAUUUCACAUUGCGGGUUCUUCUGGCUACCUGAAUCCCAUCAGGCGCAUGGCAUGAGCGCGGCGCGGUAACCAUGGCGGGCGCAGGACGGCGCCUGAGCGAGAUCGCGCGCUAGCGAUGGAGCUGUUCCGCGGGGCG